rnacentral:misc_RNA from 1 species
GAUGAAGAACGCAGCGAAAUGCGAUAAGUAGUGUGAAUUGCAGAUUUCAGUGAAUCAUCGAAUCUUUGAACGCACAUUGCGCCCCCUGGUAUUCCGGGGGGCAUGCCUGUCCGAGCGUCAUUGCUGCCCUCAAGCACGGCUUGUGUGUUGGGCCUCCGUCCUCCUCCCGGGGGACGGGCCCGAAAGGCAGCGGCGGCACCGCGUCCGGUCCUCGAGCGUAUGGGGCUUCGUCACCCGCUCUUGUAGGCCCGGCCGGCGCUUGCCGACACAUCAAUCUUUUUUCCAGGUUGCCCUCGGAUCAGGUAGGGAUACCCGCUGAACUUAAGCAUAUCAAUAAGCGGAGGA